GCCCGAGUGGCGGAAUGGCAGACGCGACGGACUCAAAAUCCGUUGUCCGGAAGGGCGUGUGGGUUCGAGUCCCACCUCGGGCA
rnacentral:tRNA from 1 species